UGGGGAAUUUUGGACAAUGGGGGAAACCCUGAUCCAGCCAUCCCGCGUGUGCGAUGAAGGCCUUCGGGUUGUAAAGCACUUUUGGCAGGGAAGAAACGGCGCAUUCUAAUACGAUGCGUCACUGACGGUACCUGCAGAAUAAGCACCGGCUAACUACGUGCCAGCAGCCGCGGUAAUACGUAGGGUGCAAGCGUUAAUCGGAAUUACUGGGCGUAAAGCGUGCGCAGGCGGUUUGGAAAGAAAGAUGUGAAAUCCCAGAGCUUAACUUUGGAACUGCAUUUUUAACUGCCAAGCUAGAGUAUGUCAGAGGGGGGUAGAAUUCCACGUGUAGCAGUGAAAUGCGUAGAGAUGUGGAGGAAUACCGAUGGCGAAGGCAGCCCCCUGGGAUAAUACUGACGCUCAUGCACGAAAGCGUGGGGAGCAAACA
rnacentral:rRNA from 1 species